GACGAACGCUGGCGGCGUGCUUAACACAUGCAAGUCGAACGCUGAAGCUCAGCUUGCUGGGUGGAUGAGUGGCGAACGGGUGAGUAACACGUGAGUAACCUGCCCUCUUCUUUGGGAUAACGCCCGGAAACGGGUGCUAAUACUGGAUAUUCACUGAUUCUCGCAUGGGGGUUGGUGGAAAGGUUUUUUCUGGUGGGGGAUGGGCUCGCGGCCUAUCAGCUUGUUGGUGGGGUGAUGGCCUACCAAGGCUUUGACGGGUAGCCGGCCUGAGAGGGUGACCGGUCACAUUGGGACUGGGAUACGGCCCAGACUGCUACGGGAGGCAGCAGUGGGGGAUAUUGCACAAUGGGCGAAAGCCUGAUGCAGCGACGCCGCGUGAGGGAUGGAGGCCUUCGGGUUGUAAACCUCUUUCGCUCAUGGUCAAGCCGCAGCUUUGGGUUGUGGUGAGGGUAGUGGGUAAAGAAGCGCCGGCUAACUACGUG
rnacentral:rRNA from 1 species